GACGAACGCUGGCGGCGUGCCUAAUACAUGCAAGUCGAACGCUGAAGGAGGAGCUUGCUUCUCUGGAUGAGUUGCGAACGGGUGAGUAACGCGUAGGUAACCUGCCUGGUAGCGGGGGAUAACUAUUGGAAACGAUAGCUAAUACCGCAUAAUAGUAGAUGUUGCAUGACAUUUGCUUAAAAGGUGCAAUUGCAUCACUACCAGAUGGACCUGCGUUGUAUUAGCUAGUUGGUGGGGUAACGGCUCACCAAGGCGACGAUACAUAGCCGACCUGAGAGGGUGAUCGGCCACACUGGGACUGAGACACGGCCCAGACUCCUACGGGAGGCAGCAGUAGGGAAUCUUCGGCAAUGGACGGAAGUCUGACCGAGCAACGCCGCGUGAGUGAAGAAGGUUUUCGGAUCGUAAAGCUCUGUUGUAAGAGAAGAACGAGUGUGAGAGUGGAAAGUUCACACUGUGACGGUAACUUACCAGAAAGGGACGGCUAACUACGUG
rnacentral:rRNA from 1 species